GAGUGUAUAGCUCAGUGGUAGAGUGUGUGCUUAGCAUGCAUGAGUUUCUGGGUUCAAUCCCCAGUAUCUCCG
rnacentral:tRNA from 1 species